UACGUCGGUGGCAAGCGUUGUCCGGAAUUAUUGGGCGUAAAGCGCGCGCAGGCGGUCCUUUAAGUCUGAUGUGAAAGCCCACGGCUCAACCGUGGAGGGUCAUUGGAAACUGGGGGACUUGAGUACAGAAGAGAAGAGUGGAAUUCCACGUGUAGCGGUGAAAUGCGUAGAGAUGUGGAGGAACACCAGUGGCGAAGGCGACUCUUUGGUCUGUAACUGACGCUGAGGCGCGAAAGCGUGGGGAGCAAACAGG
rnacentral:rRNA from 1 species